CUAAAAAACAAAAAACAAAAUAAAUUAAAAAAAUAUUUUGGUCCUAUUUAAAUCCCUUUAUAUAACAAAAUCUACUUAAAACUUAUUAUAAAACUACUUAACUAUUUCUUUAUAGAUACAAAUUUUUUUCAACAUAUUGUACCCUAAGAAAGAAGCAAUUUUAUCUAGUAAAUGGGACCCAUUUAAGGAAAAGGUUUUUUGCUUUUACGAAGAGCAAAUACAAAUCAAAGAGCGUCUUAAACUAUUAAAGACAGUUCAGAAAACUGUAUCAAUCGAUUCCGAGGACUACAUUUACACUGUAUUGCUUACAUCUGUCGUCUCAAAUUAUUCGUGGGCCGUCAUUAAAGGAACCAACACAUGCAGGCGUACGAAUGUGGCAAAACACAAAAAUGUUUGAUUAUAAAAAUCAUUGAAGACUACUAGUACAAAUGUAUACGUUAAGUACCCUGCAAGCAAAAGGGCGAAAUUUCUAUCGCCUGUCGUCCAGGAGUUAGAAAGACGAAAUAUACACGUGUCGCGUAGAAGUCACUUCUAAGUCACUUCUGAACGAUAGAAAGGCGAUAGUACACAUUUUACAAAAACAAAAAGGGUCGCGAUGGAGAAGAAGUAACUUCUGAGACACUUCUGCGCGAUAAAACGGCGAUAGAACACAUUUUACAAAAACAAAAUAUACAUAUUACGCAUAGAAGUCACUUCUAAGUCACUUCUGAACGAUAGAAAGGCGAUAGUACACAUUUUACAAAAACUAAAAGGGUCGGGAUCGCGAAGAAGUAACUUCUGAGACACUUCGGCGCGAUACAAAGACGAUAGUACACAUUUUACAAAAACAAAAUUAGUGGAAAAAAACAAGCCAUAAAAAGAGGUCGCGGUAAUUUUCCGUUACCCCUUUUUUUCUGAAAAUUUUUUGGUCUUUCUUUUGACCCACACUAUUAUUUUUCGCCCGAGCGUCAUUGCGUUGUGCAAUUUGUCUGUGUACAGUGCGGUUUUGUAUCAAUUUUGUGCGUUUUAAAAAUAUUGCUUUGUUUUUUCUAAAUGUUAUUGAUUGCUUAACAUAUUUAAAUAACCCCCUCAACAAAGGGUGCGAAAUUACGUGCUUAUCGUGAGCUGUACGAUUAUUUAAAGCUAUUUACGGACAAGCUAGCUGUGGAAAUUACUUGGCGUGUAACUGCGGAUCCAACGAUUCUCAACAUACUUCAUUGUAAAAGGUAAUGUCUUCUAGUUUAUUUUUACCUUGACUGAACAAAAAAUAAUUUUUGUUUCUGUUUCCUUUAGAAAUGGUUAUUAAUAAAUUUCUUAUGUCGACGGAGCUGGACCUAAAUAACAUUGAUCAGCAAAAUUUCCUACAUGCCAGUGACCGUGUAUACAAGCGGACAAAGCCCUUAUACACAAAAUAAAUGCAAAA